rnacentral:rRNA from 1 species
CACGUAGGGCGCGAGCGUUGUCCGGAAUUAUUGGGCGUAAAGAGCUCGUAGGCGGCCUGUUGCGUCCGCUGUGAAAGCCCGGGGCUUAACCCCGGGUCGGCAGUGGAUACGGGCAGGCUAGAGGUAGGUAGGGGAGAAUGGAAUUCCCGGUGUAGCGGUGAAAUGCGCAGAUAUCGGGAGGAACACCGGUGGCGAAGGCGGUUCUCUGGGCCUGUACUGACGCUAAGGAGCGAAAGCGUGGGGAGCAAACAGG